rnacentral:rRNA from 1 species
AUUGAACGCUGGCGGCGUGCCUAAUACAUGCAAGUCGAGCGAAGAGGGGAAGGGUGAGUAAAACGUGGAUAAACUCCUCUAUGACUGGGGUAACUUCGGGAAACCGGAGCUCAACCGGAUGCUUAUAGCUGCAUCCGCGCUGCAUUAGCUAGUUUGUAAGGUAACGGCGUACCAAGGCAACGAUGCAUAGCCGACCUGAGAGGGUGAUCGGCCACACUGGAACUGAGACACGGUCCAGACUCCUACGGGAGGCAGCAGUAGGGAAUCUUCCGCAAUGGGCGAAAGCCUGAUGGAGCAACGCCGCGUGAGUGAUGAAGGUCUUCGGAUCGUAAAACUCUGUUAUCGGGGAAGCGGUACCUAAACAGAAAGCCACGGCUAACUACGUGCCAGCCGCCGCGGUAAUAC